ACUAUCAAAAACGACAUGAAAAUCCGGAACGAGGCUGACAAUCCAGUGAGACCAGUUCCUAGGAAUGCUCUGUUCUACAACCAACUGUUUGCUUUCAGUGUUUAGAAAAGGGAAGAGACCGAAGGCCGUAGCAUUGCCGGCGGGAUGAUACAAUCGAUCGAAUUUUGCUAUCUCUUUCUCUCCUUUCUUAACUACGGCGUAGGACACAUCGGUGUUUACCCCUCCUACUUUUACCGUCUUGUGCAGUUUGACCACUACAUAACCUUGAUAGGA
rnacentral:misc_RNA from 1 species